GGAGUCUGGGCCGUGUCUCAGUCCCCAAUGUGGCCGAUCAACCUCUCAGUCCGGCUACCGAUCGUCGGCAUGGUAGGCCGUUACCCCACCAUCUACCUAAUCGGACGCGAGCCCAUCUCUCAGCGAUAAAUCUUUGGUCAAGGUAUCAUGCGGUACUAUGACGUUAUGCGGUAUUAGCAGCCGUUUCCAACUGUUAUUCCACUCUGAGAGGCAGGUUGCCCACGCGUUACUCACCCGUCCGCCACUAAGUGAUUCAAUUGAGUCAAUCUGGUGCAAGCACCUUCAAUCCUCGGGAGAACCACUCCGUUCGACUUGCAUGUGUUAAGCACGCCGCCAGCGUUUAUC
rnacentral:rRNA from 1 species